UACGGAGACUGCAAGCGUUACUCGGAUUUACUGGGCGUAAAGGGUGCGCAGGCGGUUGUGUGUGUUGAGUUUAGAAGGCUGAGGCUUAACCUCAGUGAGGGCUCAAAACUGCACGACUAGAGUACUGGAUAGGUAAGCGGAAUUCCAGGAGUAGCAGUGAAAUGCGUAGAUAUCUGGAAGAACACCGAAGGCGAAGGCAGCUUACUGGACAGAGACUGACGCUCAGGCACGAAAGCGUGGGGAGCGAAAG
rnacentral:rRNA from 1 species